rnacentral:rRNA from 1 species
AACGAACGCUGGCGGCAGGCUUAACACAUGCAAGUCGAACGGGUGUAGCAAUACAUCAGUGGCAGACGGGUGAGUAACACGUGGGAACCUUCCUAGGGGUACGGAACAACUCAGGGAAACUUGAGCUAAUACCGUAUACGUCCGUGAGGAGAAAGAUUUAUCGCCCUUAGACGGGCCCGCGUCGGAUUAGCUAGUUGGUGGGGUAACGGCCUACCAAGGCGACGAUCCGUAGCUGAUCUUAGAGGAUGAUCAGCCACACUGGGACUGAGACACGGCCCAGACUCCUACGGGAGGCAGCAGUGGGGAAUCUUGCGCAAUGGGCGAAAGCCUGACGCAGCCAUGCCGCGUGGAUGAUGAAGGUCUUAGGAUUGUAAAAUCCUUUCACCGGUGAAGAUAAUGACUGUAGCCGGAGAAGAAGCCCCGGCUAACUUCGUGCCAGCAGCCGCGGUAAAAC